rnacentral:rRNA from 1 species
UACGGGGGGAGCAAGCGUUGUUCGGAUUUACUGGGCGUAAAGGGCGCGUAGGCGGCGAAUCAAGUCAGCUGUGAAAUCUCCGAGCUUAACUCGGAACGGUCAGCUGAUACUGUUUUGCUAGAGUGCAGAAAGGGCAACCGGAAUUCUUGGUGUAGCGGUGAAAUGCGUAGAUAUCAAGAGGAACACCUGAGGCGAAGGCGGGUUGCUAGGCUGACACUGACGCUGAAGCGCGAAAGCUAGGGUAGCAAACGGG